UACAGAGGUCUCAAGCGUUGUUCGGAUUCAUUGGGCGUAAAGGGUGCGUAGGCGGCGCGGUAAGUCGGGUGUGAAAUCUCGGAGCUUAACUCCGAAACUGCAUUCGAUACUGCCGUGCUUGAGGACUGGAGAGGAGACUGGAAUUUACGGUGUAGCGGUGAAAUGCGCAGAUAUCAGGAAGAACACCAAUGGCGAAGGCAGCUCUCUGGGACGGUACUGACACUGAGACGCGAAAGCGUGGGGAGCGAACAGG
rnacentral:rRNA from 1 species